rnacentral:pre_miRNA from 1 species
AUGAGAUGAAAUCAGCGUUUGGACAUAUAAUUUCACGUUAAUUCCAUCUCAUGA